GAUGAACGCUGGCGGCGUGCCUAAUACAUGCAAGUCGAGCGAACAGACGAGGAGCUUGCUCCUCUGACGUUAGCGGCGGACGGGUGAGUAACACGUGGAUAACCUACCUAUAAGUCUGGGAUAACUUCGGGAAACCGGAGCUAAUACCGGAUAAUAUAUUGAACCGCAUGGUUCAAUAGUGAAAGACGGUUUUGCUGUCACUUAUAGAUGGAUCCGCGCCGCAUUAGCUAGUUGGUAAGGUAACGGCUUACCAAGGCAACGAUGCGUAGCCGACCUGAGAGGGUGAUCGGCCACACUGGAACUGAGACAUGGUCCAGACUCCUACGGGAGGCAGCAGUAGGGAAUCUUCCGCAAUGGGCGAAAGCCUGACGGAGCAACGCCGCGUGAGUGAUGAAGGUCUUCGGAUCGUAAAACUCUGUUAUUAGGGAAGAACAAAUGUGUAAGUAACUAUGCACGUCUUGACGGUACCUAAUCAGAAAGCCACGGCUAACUACGUG
rnacentral:rRNA from 1 species